ACGAACGCUGGCGGCGUGCCUAAUACAUGCAAGUCGAGCGGAAUGAUGAAGAAGCUUGCUUCUUCUGAUUUUAGCGGCGGACGGGUGAGUAACACGUGGGCAACCUACCUUGUAGAUUGGGAUAACUCCGGGAAACCGGGGCUAAUACCGAAUAAUCCAUUUUGCUUCAUGGCGAGAUGUUGAAAGACGGCUUCGGCUGUCACUACAAGAUGGGCCCGCGGCGCAUUAGCUAGUUGGUAGGGUAAUGGCCUACCAAGGCGACGAUGCGUAGCCGACCUGAGAGGGUGAUCGGCCACACUGGGACUGAGACACGGCCCAGACUCCUACGGGAGGCAGCAGUAGGGAAUCUUCCACAAUGGACGAAAGUCUGAUGGAGCAACGCCGCGUGAGUGAAGAAGGUUUUCGGAUCGUAAAACUCUGUUGUAAGGGAAGAACACGUACGAGAGUAACUGCUCGUACCUUGACGGUACCUUAUUAGAAAGCCACGGCUAACUACGUG
rnacentral:rRNA from 1 species